rnacentral:lncRNA from 1 species
UUUUUGUUUUUUUUUUGUUUUGUUUUAAUGCCCCAGUUGGCUGUUCUGCUGAUUCUCGAGAUGCAGCUGAGCGAUCUUCUUUUCUUGCUCAAGAAGUCGGGAAAUCUCGUCAGGAAUCCCUUCAACAUCAUCUUCUUCCGCUUCGAAUACAGGGAAUUCAAAAUUGGGAGAUGACGUCAGAUCAUCGUGUUCAAUGGGUUUGAGAAACAACCUGCAUAAAGAUUUUGAUACGAAAAG